CCUGCCCCUAGAGGUGUGGCAGGUGGGGCUGCCGUCUCACAUGUGUGUCAGUAGGUGGCAGAGAGGAGAGAGGCUAUGUUUCCCCCGCAGCGUUCGGACUUAUGAAGUCUGAAUGAUUAGUAGCUUAGCAUU